rnacentral:rRNA from 1 species
GACGAACGCUGGCGGCGUGCCUAAUACAUGCAAGUCGAGCGAAUCAUUAGGAGCUUGCUCCUGUUGGUUAGCGGCGGACGGGUGAGUAACACGUGGGCAACCUGCCUGUAAGACUGGGAUAACACCGGGAAACCGGUGCUAAUACCGGAUAAUCCUUUUCUUCUCAUGAAGAAAAGCUGAAAGACGGUUUCGGCUGUCACUUACAGAUGGGCCCGCGGCGCAUUAGCUAGUUGGUGAGGUAACGGCUCACCAAGGCGACGAUGCGUAGCCGACCUGGGAGGGUGAUCGGCAACACUGGGACUGAGACACGGCCCAGACUCCUACGGGAGGCAGCAGUAGGGAAUCUUCCACAAUGGACGAAAGUCUGAUGGAGCAACGCCGCGUGAGCGAUGAAGGCCUUCGGGUCGUAAAGCUCUGUUGUUAGGGAAGAACAAGUACCGGAGUAACUGCCGGCACCUUGACGGUACCUAACCAGAAAGCCACGGCUAACUACGUGCCAGCCGCCGCAGUAAAAC